rnacentral:rRNA from 1 species
CAAUAGCGUAUAUUAAAGUUGUUGCAGUUAAAAGCUCGUAGUUGGAUCUCGGGUCCAGGCCUGCGGUCCGCCUCGCGGCGGUUACUGCUCGUCCUGGCCUACCUGCCGGUGUGUCCCUUGGUGCUCUUGAUUGAGUGUCUCGGGCGGCCGGAACGUUUACUUUGAAAAAUUAGAGUGUUCAAAGCAGGCGUGUCGCCUGAAUAAUGGUGCAUGGAAUGAUGGAAUAGGACCUCGGUUCUAUUUUGUUGGUUUUCGGUAGCUCGAGGUAAUGAUUAAGAGGGACUGACGGGGGCGAUUCGUAUUGCGGUGUUAGAGGUGGAAAUUACUUGGUAUCAUCGCAAGACGAACUACAGCGAAAGACAUUUGUCC